AUUGAACGCUGGCGGCAGGCCUAACACAUGCAAGUCGAGCGAGCGGCGGACGGGUGAGUAAUGUAUGGGGACUGCCCGAUAGAGGGGGAUAACUACUGGCCACGGUGGCUAAUACCGCAUACUAUCGGAUAACCCAUAUGGGAUUAGCUAGUAGGUGGGGUAAAGGCUCACCUAGGCGACGAUCUCUUGCUGGUCUGAGAGGAUGAUCAGCGACACUGGGACGGAGACACGGCCCAGACGCCUACGGAGGCAGCAGUGGGGAAUAUUGCACAAUGGGCGCAGGCCUGAUGCAGCGAGGCCGCGUGGGGGAUGAAGGCUUUCGGGUUGUAACCCUCUUUCGCUAUCGAACGGGUAGGUGGAGAAGAAGCGCCGGCUAACUCCGUGCCAGCAGCCGCGGUAAUAC
rnacentral:rRNA from 1 species